ACACCGUUGGUGAAGUGGUUAUCAUGCUUGCCUUCCAUUUGUCAGUUAGCAAGCGGCUCGGGUUCGAUUCCCGAACGGUGUA